AGAGUUUGAUCCUGGCUCAGGAUGAACGCUAGCGGCAGGCUUAACACAUGCAAGUCGAGGGGCAGCGCGGGGUAGCAAUACUCUGGCGGCGACCGGCGGAAGGGUGCGUAACACGUGAGCGACUUGCCCGAUACAGGGAGAUAACCGGUGGAAACGCCGACUAAUAUCCCAUAGGACUAGAGGCUGCAUGGCCUUGAGUUGAAAGGUUCGCCGGUAUCGGAUAGGCUCGCGGGACAUUAGCUUGAUGGCGGGGCAACGGCCCACCAUGGCGACGAUGUCUAGGGGUUCUGAGAGGAAGACCCCCCACACUGGGACUGAGACACGGCCCAGACUCCUACGGGAGGCAGCAGUGAGGAAUAUUGGUCAAUGGGCGGAAGCCUGAACCAGCCAUGCCGCGUGCGGGAAGGAGGCCCUAUGGGCUGUGAACCGCUUUUGCCUGGGGGCAAUAAGGGCGCCGUGCGCGCCCGAUGAGAGUACCAGGCGAAUAAGCAUCGGCUAACUCCGUGCCAGCAGCCGCGGUAAUACGGGGGAUGCGAGCGUUAUCCGGAUUUAUUGGGUUUAAAGGGUGCGUAGGCGGCGAAUUAAGUCAGCGGUGAAAGACCGGGGCUCAACCCUGGAAGUGCCGUUGAUACUGAUUGGCUAGAAUACCCUUGCCGUGGGAGGAAUGAGUGGUGUAGCGGUGAAAUGCAUAGAUAUCACUCAGAACACCGAUUGCGAAGGCAUCUCACGAAGGGGCGAUUGACGCUGAGGCACGAAAGCGUGGGGAUCGAACAGGAUUAGAUACCCUGGUAGUCCACGCAGUAAACGAUGAUGGCUAACUGUCGGGCCUUAGGGUUCGGCGGCCAAGCGAAAGCGAUAAGCCAUCCACCUGGGGAGUACGACCGCAAGGUUGAAACUCAAAGGAAUUGACGGGGGCCCGCACAAGCGGAGGAACAUGUGGUUUAA
rnacentral:rRNA from 1 species